rnacentral:rRNA from 1 species
UCGGGAAUUUUGGGCAAUGGGCGAAAGCCUGACCCAGCAACGCCGCGUGAGGGAUGAAGUAUUUCGGUAUGUAAACCUCGAAAGAAUGGGAAGAAUAAAUGACGGUACCAUUUAUAAGCUCCGGCUAACUACGUGCCAGCAGCCGCGGUAAUACGUAGGGAGCAAGCGUUGUUCGGAUUUACUGGGCGUAAAGGGCGCGUAGGCGGCGCGGUAAGUCACUUGUGAAAUCUCUGAGCUUAACUCAGAACGGCCAAGUGAUACUGCUGUGCUAGAGUGCGGAAGAGGCAACCGGAAUUCUUGGUGUAGCGGUGAAAUGCGUAGAUAUCAAGAGGAACACCUGAGGCGAAGGCGGGUUGCUAGGCCGACACUGACGCUGAUGCGCGAAAGCCAGGGGAGCAAAC